AUUGAACGCUGGCGGCAGGCCUAACACAUGCAAGUCGAACGAGUGGCGGACGGGUGAGUAAUGUCUGGGAAACUGCCUGAUGGAGGGGGAUAACUACUGGAAACGGUAGCUAAUACCGCAUACCAUCGGAUGUGCCCAGAUGGGAUUAGCUAGUAGGUGGGGUAACGGCUCACCUAGGCGACGAUCCCUAGCUGGUCUGAGAGGAUGACCCGCCACACUGGAACGGGGACAAGGUCCAGACUCCCACGGGAGGCAGCAGUGGGGAAUAUUUCACAAUGGGCGCAAGCCUGAUGCAGCCAUGCCGCGGGUAGGAAGAAGGCCUUCGGGGUGUAAAGUACUUUCAGCGGGGAGGCGUUACCCGCAGAAGAAGCACCGGCUAACUCCGUGCCAGCCGCCGCGGUAAUAC
rnacentral:rRNA from 1 species